GAUGAACGCUGGCGGCGUGCCUAAUACAUGCAAGUCGAGCGAACAGACGAGGAGCUUACUCCUCUGACGUUAGCGGCGGACGGGUGAGUAACACGUGGAUAACCUACCUAUAAGACUGGGAUAACUUCGGGAAACCGGAGCUAAUACCGGAUAAUAUGUUGAACCGCAUGGUUCAACAGUGAAAGACGGUCUUGCUGUCACUUAUAGAUGGAUCCGCGUCGCAUUAGCUAGUUGGUAAGGUAACGGCUUACCAAGGCAACGAUGCGUAGCCGACCUGAGAGGGUGAUCGGCCACACUGGAACUGAGACACGGUCCAGACUCCUACGGGAGGCAGCAGUAGGGAAUCUUCCGCAAUGGGCGAAAGCCUGACGGAGCAACGCCGCGUGAGUGAAGAAGGUCUUCGGAUCGUAAAACUCUGUUAUUAGGGAAGAACAAAUGUGUAAGUAACUAUGCACGUCUUGACGGUACCUAAUCAGAAAGCCACGGCUAACUACGUG
rnacentral:rRNA from 1 species